AGGCCUUGCGCUCUUUGAGCGGCCGAUAUCAGAUUAGCUAGUUGGUGAGGUAAAGGCUCACCAAGGCGACGAUCUGUAGCGGGUCUGAGAGGAUGAUCCGCCACACUGGAACUGAGACACGGUCCAGACUCCUACGGGAGGCAGCAGUGGGGAAUUUUGGACAAUGGGGGCAACCCUGAUCCAGCCAUGCCGCGUGAGUGAAGAAGGCCUUCGGGUUGUAAAGCUCUUUCGGCCGGGAAGAAAUCGCAUGGGCCAAUACCCUGUGCGGAUGACGGUACCGGCAUAAGAAGCACCGGCUAACUACGUGCCAGCAGCCGCGGUAAUACGUAGGGUGCGAGCGUUAAUCGGAAUUACUGGGCGUAAAGCGUGCGCAGGCGGUUUUGUAAGACAGGCGUGAAAUCCCCGGGCUCAACCUGGGAACUGCGUUUGUGACUGCAAGGCUAGAGUACGGCAGAGGGGGGUGGAAUUCCACGUGUAGCAGUGAAAUGCGUAGAGAUGUGGAGGAACACCAAUGGCGAAGGCAGCCCCCUGGGUCGAUACUGACGCUCAUGCACGAAAGCGUGGGUAGCAAACAGGAUUAGAUACCCUGGUAGUCCACGCCCUAAACGAUGUCAACUAGGUGUUGGGUGGGUAAAACCAUUUAGUACCGGAGCUAACGCGUGAAGUUGACCGCCUGGGGAGUACGGCCGCAAGGUUAAAACUCAAAGGAAUUGACGGGGACCCGCACAAGCGGUGGAUGAUGUGGAUUAAUUCGAUGCAACGCGAAAAACCUUACCUACCCUUGACAUGUCCAGAAGCCUGAAGAGAUUUGGGUGUGCCCGAAAGGGAACUGGAACACAGGUGCUGCAUGGCUGUCGUCAGCUCGUGUCGUGAGAUGUUGGGUUAAGUCCCGCAACGAGCGCAACCCUUGUCGUUAAUUGCCAUCAUUCAGUUGGGCACUUUAACGAGACUGCCGGUGACAAACCGGAGGAAGGUGGGGAUGACGUCAAGUCCUCAUGGCCCUUAUGGGUAGGGCUUCACACGUCAUACAAUGGUCGGUACAAAGGGUUGCCAAGCCGCGAGGUGGAGCCAAUCCCAGAAAGCCGAUCGUAGUCCGGAUCGUAGGCUGCAACUCGCCUGCGUGAAGUCGGAAUCGCUAGUAAUCGUGGAUCAGCAUGUCACGGUGAAUACGUUCCCGGGUCUUGUACACACCGCCCGUCACACCAUGGGAGCGGGUUCCGCCAGAAGUAGGUAGCCUAACCGCAAGGGGGGCGCUUACCACGGCGGGGUUCGUGACUG
rnacentral:rRNA from 1 species